AUGAGUGCACAACCCUAGAGUCUGUCAAGACUGGCCCGUAUGGGCAGGGGUACCUUUACCUUUUAUACAUAUAUACCACUGGAGCCUACAAUGCUCACAGCAUUAACACCCCAAUAGUGCCUUGCUUCCCCCAUAGCCACAGCCUUGGAUUUGAGCAGAAAUCAAACAUGGUUCUCUCUCCCUGUGACUUCCAAGCCUGCUGCUUUUCCGGCUUCCAGCUCUUAGCUUAAAUCACUGCACUCUCCACUCUGGCCUUUGUUUUUCUAACUACUAGCCAGUUGAGGAAGGGAGGCACACCCAUUUUGUUUCUGGCACAGAUCCACUUCCUUUGUUCCCCUUAAUGGCCCAUUACCUAGGCUAUCACCUCACCAGGUAUUUACAUUUUAACACUUGCUGGAUCUAGGGGUAAUAAGGGUCUUGACAUACCCCCCACCCCAAUGUGGGCAGAGCAGGAAUCAAAUGAAUCAAUAACCUUAUAUCCUCCUGAUGUUUUUUAGCUGCGGUUUAUCUUACACCUUGUUUCUUUUAGGUUUUCAACCCCACUAUAUCUGCAAGUGAAUGGAAUUUGAAUGAUGUGGAGGCCAAUUUGUCCUCGUUUGUGUUUUUGCAUCAGGACACAGAUGCCAACGGUGGAUCUGGAGAAGAAUGCAAAUAAAAGGUCCUCCCGAGUGUUAAAUCCCCAAGUUAAUGCCUCUUGCUCAGGGAGAGACGUCAUUCUGGAAAGCAUCUGUCUGCACUUUUGGAAGAGCAACACUAUGAAUGUACCAAACAGUUCAUCUUUUCACACUGGGUCUAGAACAGCACCUUCCUUCUUUCCUGCUGUGGACUUUAAAAUCCCCAUCUCAGUUACAUCCCAUCGAACCUGAUCUCCCGGAAUGAGAAUGAUGAGUUUUCUUUUGCUUAGCUUAAACUAUUUAUGCUUUCCCUCCCCCCCCCCGGGGGGGGGGGGAACAUCUAGCAGCCUGAAUGUAAAGAAGUGGAAGUCAGUCACUCAUAACAGAUACACAAAUGUGAUGCAGUCAUUUUUGUUUCUCUGUCAAAUGUUGUGAGUGACAGUUAGCUGUCGAAGGGAUUAUCUGUCUGUUUUUGAAACUCCCAUCAUGCUACAAAUGAAGCUUUUAUUUCUGAACUGCUACUGACAAUCAGUGAGGAGGUGAUCCCUACACACCGCUUUGGUCCUGUCCAAUGCUCUGUGUCCAGUUUUUUCUCAUGAGAAAUCUUAGACCUCAAAAAAAAAGGUACGUAUCUUCCCAUGUUCAGUCUGUGUCCCAUGAUCUCACAGGGACCGUCCUCGUCAUUGUCUCAUCUCUCCUGUUUUAUUAUUGGAGCCUGAAAGGUCAUCUCUAAUUUGUGCCUAAUUCCCCAUUCUGGUUACAUCAGCAUAUAGUGCUAUAUUGACUGUUGUGCCAAACCUUGACAUUAUCAGGACCAGCUUGACAAAUGCCAAAUCUAGCUUGGAGCCAGCUGCAUGUCUUACUCGUUCACACAAAAGGACUGUGCUAAAAUUGAAAUUAUUUGGGGAGGGUUGAAUAAAAAAUUGGAUGUGCUGCUCAGAAUGCUAAUAUAUAUUCUUCUAGCUUGACUUUUUUCAGCAUUCCCAACUAUGGACAUUGUUAAAUUUGGGAUUGUUUUUUUGAACAUGUGAAAAAAUGUUACGACUUCACAGAUAAUUGUUGUAGCUUUAUAUUUAUUUAUUUUAAAUCCUGCAAAGUUCAAUUUCUAAAAGCAAACUUUGAAAAUUCAUUAGUUUUUGGAUAUAUAGUACGUAAUUUGUUUCUUUCAAUUUGCACCUGUCUUUGCAAUCCUGGGUGAUCCUUGGAGAGUCAUUGCAUGUCUUAAAAUUGCAAGUGUGAGUGCAGUUUGCAGAAAUCUAUAGGGCCUGUGGCUACAAAUGCAGCCCUGAUUUCCUGCUGUUCAAAAUACAUUUGUGAGAUCCAGCCUUGAGAACACAUGGAACCUCUCCUCUCUUGAAAUAAAGCCUUCCUUGUCAUCUUACCCCGAACUUAUUAACCCAAGAUAUCGGGGUCAUUCUUGGGAAUAUGAACUCUUCUUACUCUCUCCUUUACCACUUGCUUGCUUGCUUUGAAACCAUGACUAAUGCUAACAUAGAUUCCUCUCUUAAUUAAUGUUUGAAACCUUGGUUUGAUGUUAGUGUGUAACAUCUGAUUAAAAGGGAACAGGGUUAAUCUAAACUAUAGUUAGUUUUGAUACAAAUGUAAUGUGUUGAAUUAUGGUUAAGGCUAAUAAGGAAAAAGUGGAGGGAUUUUGCAUCAGAGAGGUGAGCUAAAAAGUGACCAUUUCUUUCCAGGGCUUACUCCUGAUUUACAGGUUGUGCUUUGCUGGAAAUCUGAUUUAUAAACCAUGGUUUGCUGGACUUGACUGUUAUUUUUAGUCAUCUAAUUGUGCUACAUGGUGUUCCAAAAUGUAUCUGUUUAGGGAUAUUUACAUAAAUUAUUACCUAAGGAUUAUCUUGCAUAACAUUAUGGUUUAUUGAGCUGGAGUAAAGUGAUAAUGAUAGAUUCCUUGGGAGAUGUUGCAUCCAGACAGCAACUUCCUAUGUAAUAGGGUUGCAUGAUUUACCGUAUUUUUCGCCCUAUUGGACGCACCGGCCC
ensembl:lncRNA